CACGUAGGGGGCGAGCGUUGUCCGGAUUUAUUGGGCGUAAAGAGCGCGCAGGCGGUAACUCAAGUCAGAUGUGAAAUAUCCGGGCUUAACCCGGAGGGGUCAUUUGAAACUGAGUAACUAGAGUACAGCAGAGGAUAGCGGAAUUCCCGGUGUAGUGGUGAAAUGCGUAGAUAUCGGGAGGAACACCAGUGGCGAAGGCGGCUAUCUGGGCUGAAACUGACGCUGAGGCGCGAAGGCUAGGGGAGCAAACAGG
rnacentral:rRNA from 1 species